rnacentral:rRNA from 1 species
UACGUAGGGCGCAAGCGUUUGUCCGGAAUUAUUGGGCGUAAAGAGCUCGUAGGCGGCUUGUCACGUCGGGUGUGAAAGCCCGGGGCUUAACCCCGGGUCUGCAUUCGAUACGGCUAGCUAGAGUGUGGUAGGGGAGAUCGGAAUUCCUGGUGUAGCGGUGAAAUGCGCAGAUAUCAGGAGGAACACCGAUGGCGAAGGCAGGUCUCUGGGCCUGUUCUUGACGCUGAGGCGCGAAAGCUAGGGGAGCAAACGGG